rnacentral:rRNA from 1 species
GACGAACGCUGGCGGCGUGCUUAACACAUGCAAGUCGAACGGAAAGGCCCUGCUUUUGUGGGGUGCUCGAGUGGCGAACGGGUGAGUAACACGUGAGUAACCUGCCCUUGACUUUGGGAUAACUUCAGGAAACUGGGGCUAAUACCGGAUAGGAGCUCCUGCUGCAUGGUGGGGGUUGGAAAGUUUCGGCGGUUGGGGGUGGGCUCGCGGCUUAUCAGCUUGUUGGUGGGGUAGUGGCUUACCAAGGCUUUGACGGGUAGCCGGCCUGAGAGGGUGACCGGACACAGGGGGAGUAAGGGACGGCCGGGGGGGGAGCGGGGGGCAGCGGGGGGGAGGAGGGGACAAUGGGCGGAGGCGUGACACGGCACUGCCGGGGGGGGGAUGAGGGCCUGCGGGUUGAAAACCGAUGUCGCCGGUGAAAAAGCGUGCGGGCGGGGAGGGGGAAAGGAAGAACAGCCUACUUACGUC